AGGUAAGCUACUAAGAGCGAAUGGUGGAUGCCUUGACUGGUAAAGGCGAUGAAGGACGUACUAGACUGCGAUAAGCUACGGGGAGCUGUCAAGAAGCUUUGAUCCGUAGAUUUCCGAAUGGGGCAACCCAAUGUAUAGAGAUAUACAUUACCUAUAUAGGAGCGAACGAGGGGAAUUGAAACAUCUUAGUACCCUCAGGAAAAGAAAUCAAUAGAGAUUGCGUCAGUAGCGGCGAGCGAAAGCGCAAGAGGGCAAACCCAGUGCUUGCACUGGGGGUUGUAGGACUGCAAUGUGCAAGAGGUGAGUUUAGCAGAACAUUCUGGAAAGUAUAGCCAUAGAGGGUGAUAGUCCCGUAUGCGAAAAACAAACCUUAGCUAGCAGUAUCCUGAGUAGGGCGGGACACGAGAAAUCCUGUCUGAAGCUGGGUCGACCACGAUCCAACCCUAAAUACUAAUACCAGAUCGAUAGUGCACAAGUACCGUGAGGGAAAGGUGAAAAGAACUGAGGUGAUCAGAGUGAAAUAGAACCUGAAACCAUUUGCUUACAAUCAUUCAGAGCCCUAUGUAGCAAUACAGGGUGAUGGACUGCCUUUUGCAUAAUGAGCCUGCGAGUUGUGGUGUCUGGCAAGGUUAAGCAAACGCGAAGCCGUAGCGAAAGCGAGUCUGAAUAGGGCGCUUAGUCAGAUGCUGCAGACCCGAAACGAAGUGAUCUAUCCAUGAGCAAGUUGAAGCUAGUGUAAGAACUAGUGGAGGACUGAACCCAUAGGCGUUGAAAAGCCCCGGGAUGACUUGUGGAUAGGGGUGAAAGGCCAAUCAAACUUCGUGAUAGCUGGUUCUCUCCGAAAUAUAUUUAGGUAUAGCGUUGUGUCGUAAUAUAAGGGGGUAGAGCACUGAAUGGGCUAGGGCAUACACCAAUGUACCAAACCCUAUCAAACUCCGAAUACCUUAUAUGUAAUCACAGCAGUCAGGCGGCGAGUGAUAAAAUCCGUCGUCAAGAGGGAAACAACCCAGACUACCAGCUAAGGUCCCUAAAUCUUACUUAAGUGGAAAACGAUGUGAAGUUACUUAAACAACCAGGAGGUUGGCUUAGAAGCAGCCAUCCUUUAAAGAAAGCGUAAUAGCUCACUGGUCUAGUGAUUUUGCGCGGAAAAUAUAACGGGGCUAAAGUAAGUACCGAAGCUGUAGACUUGCGCACAACUUAGAUUAUUUAAGUUUAGAAUAUGAGAAACUAAGUUAUAUGUUUAGUUAUAUUUUUACUGAUUUUUAUAGAGUAAAGAUAGAAAUAAAACUUAGUAAAAUCAGUAAAAAUAUUCUUAGACUAAAGUUAAGUAGUUUAAGUUGUGUGCAAGUGGUAGGAGAGCGUUCUAUUUGCGUCGAAGGUAUACCGGUAAGGAGUGCUGGAGCGAAUAGAAGUGAGCAUGCAGGCAUGAGUAGCGAUAAUUAAUGUGAGAAUCAUUAACGCCGUAAACCC
rnacentral:rRNA from 1 species